rnacentral:rRNA from 1 species
GGAGUUGAUAUCCUUUGCGUCCAAGAAACCAAAUGGAGAGGACAGAAGGCGAAGGAGGUGGAGGAUACCGGCUUCAAGCUGUGGUACACGGGGACGGCUGCAAAUAGAAAUGGCGUAGGCAUCUUGAUCAACAAGAGCCUCAAGUAUGGAGUGGUAGACGCCAGGAGACGUGGGGACCGGAUUAUCCUGGUCAAGCUGGUAGCUGAGGACUUGGUUCUCAAUGUUAUCAGCGCAUAUGCCCCGCAAGUAGGCCACAAUGAGAACACCAAGAGGGAGUUCUGGGGAGGCUUGGAAGACAUGGUUAGGAGUGUACCGAUUGGUGAGAAGCUCUUCAUAGGAGGAGACCUCAAUGUCCAUGUGGGUACAUCUAACACAGGUUUUGAA